CCCCUCGCAAACCUGUACCCAUCUCCUCCAUGUCGGCCGCAACCUAGCCUCCUCUGCCACUCCUCCGCACAGCCAGCGACCAAGCUUCCUCACCCACUCCUCUGCACUGCCCGCGACCUAGUUUCUGCUACUCCUCUAUGCCGCUCAUGACCUAGCCUCUUCCGCCACUCCUUCGCGUCACCCGUGACACAAUCACUAACCCUUCAAAGCCACCGAAGCUUUUACACCUCUUCUAACGCUAUCAUUCUUGUCGCUUAGGGUUGUUUGGUUGUGCGGCCAGUAGCUGAUUCUUUCCUUCAUUGGGUUAGCAACAAGAUUCUACAUCUAAGGCCGGCGGAUAGUUGGCACUAUUGGAAACACCUCUUCUCGUGUGAGCAGUGAGUCGCACAUCUUUCCCAUCGAGUGGUGGAUACUACAUGGAGUGCCCUUGCAGUUAAGGUUCGAAUAUUACCUUCAAGUUUGAGAGUGAUAUUCACUCUUGUGGAAUAGGCCAGCAAUUAUAUCAAAGAGUUCUUCGAUACUCUUACAUAUUCCAACAAGCUUCAUUGAAGGUAGGAUCGCUUUCCUCAUGUUAGGCCUUCCUCGAGGGUUUUUACCAUUGCAGUUGUUGUUGGGAAAUAAUUAGUUUUGAUUAAAUUGUUUAGUUGUGCUUGUGCUAAUCUAAAAUCAUUGGUCUAUGGUGAGCGUAUUGGUUGUACUUAAGUAGUUGUUCUUGUGUUGUGUACCACUUCAUUGCUUCUAAGUGUAGGGGCAUAAUCCACUCACUUACCAUACUCAAACUAUAAAAAAGAUAAAGAUUAAACAUAAUCUAACGAAAUGAAAUAAUGAAAAUUCAUGAUUAUUUACGUAUUCUUGCUUUGUUUACUUCUAUGCUUUACUAAUCAUGUUUGCUACAUAUAGUUUUAAGUAAUUGUUUUAAAAUUAUUAGAAAUCUCGAAGGAAGAACUUUAAAUAAUCAAAAAAGAAACAUACUUUGUCAAUAAGUGUCCCAAGAUCAUUACAUAUGUUAUAUUGUUAUAAUAAGUGUACUCUAGAUGAAGGAAGAUAUAUAUAUCAAUGCGUUUAGAUAAUGAUGUGUUUGAUGAUGAUUAUAAACUUCUGUGUAUAAUAAGUGUACUCUAAUUAUGUAAUAAGUGUACUCUAAUUAUGUGUCUGUGCAUAGUUUUGAUUGGAUUCUCACUUUGAUUGGAUUCUCACUGUUAUUGAACCCUACAAAGAUGUUAUUUAUUUGUUGGAUUCCCUAAGUCACUGCAUUCACGAUGAGGAUUAGAAAUUUGUAGUGGAAAUGUAAGUUCAUAUUUAUUUUUUAUUAAUCAUUUAUUUUACUCAAUAAAAAACUCAUAUAUCAAAUAUUAUUAAUGUAUGAAGGGCCUUAAGAUUGUUUAUUUCAAAUAAGGGAAGAAAAGGUAGAAAUAAAUGCUGAGUGGGAAGUAGUAUAGCUAUGUGUAAUUAUGUUUAAUAUAUUUUUUAAUAUGUAUAUUUGUCAUUAACAAUUUGUCUCUAAUUGCCCUAGGUCCUCGGCAAUAAGAUGUGAAACAAUGUACUUAUUAUGUGAUGAGAUUUAUGAGACAAGUUAUUAAAGAAGUUGAAUCUAUCGAGAGAGAUUCACUAUGAUCAAUAAUAAUAUUAUCUUUCUUAUAUAAAAUUAUUUGAAAUAAACUAUUUAAAAUUUGCAAAGUCAGUGUUGAUUUUUUUUAUUAACAUAAUUUGUGUGUUCACAGUUCAAAAAAGCGGAGUACUCUCGGGAAGAAAUUGAUGAGGUACGUUCCGAGUUGGCAAAAUGUGUUGAAUAUAAGUGAAUG